CUACGGAGGAUGCGAGCGUUAUCCGGAUUUAUUGGGUUUAAAGGGAGCGUAGGUGGGAUAUUAAGUCAGCUGUGAAAGUUUGGGGCUCAACCUUAAAAUUGCAGUUGAUACUGGUUUCCUUGAGUACGGUACAGGUGGGCGGAAUUCGUGGUGUAGCGGUGAAAUGCUUAGAUAUCACGAAGAACUCCGAUCGCGUAGGCAGCUCACCGGGCCGGAACUGACACUGAUGCUCGAAAGUGCGGGUAUCAAACAGGAUUAGAUACCCUGGUAGUCCGCACAGUAAACGAUGAAUACGCGCUGUUUGCGAUACACGGUAAGCGGCCAAGCGAAAGCGUUAAGUAUUCCACCUGGGGAGUACGCCGGCAACGGUGAAACUCAAAUGAAUUGACGGGG
rnacentral:rRNA from 1 species